UAAGGAAUAUUGCUCAAUGGGAGAAAUCCUGAAGCAGCAACGCCGCGUGGAGGAUGAAGGGUCUAUGACUUGUAAACUCCUGUAAAGAAGGAAAAAAUUCCCAUUAGAUGGAAGAUGAUGGUACUUCUGGAGUAAGCCCCUGCUAACUACGUGCCAGCAGCCGCGGUAAUACGUAGGGGGCAAGCGUUGUCCGGAUUUACUGGGUGUAAAGGGUGCUCAGGCGGAUUUGUAAGUCAGAGGUGAAAUCUCACAGCUUAACUGUGAAACUGCCUUUGAUACUGCAAGCCUAGAGUAUGGAAGAGAGCGAUGGAAUAUCUGGUGUAGCAGUGAAAUGCGUAGAUAUCAGAUAGAACACCAAUGGCGAAGGCAGUCACUUGGUCCAUUACUGACGCUAAAGCACGAAAGCGUGGGUAGCAAACA
rnacentral:rRNA from 1 species